rnacentral:rRNA from 1 species
CCUACGGGUGGCUGCAGUGAGGAAUAUUGGUCAAUGGACGUAAGUCUGAACCAGCCAAGUCGCGUGCAGGAUGACGGCUCUAUGGGUUGUAAACUUCUUUUAUACGGGAAUAAAGUGCGGUACGUGUAGCGUUUUGUAUGUACCUUAUGAAUAAGGAUCGGCUAACUCCGUGCCAGCAGCCGCGGUAAUACGGAGGAUCCGAGCGUUAUCCGGAUUUAUUGGGUUUAAAGGGUGCGUAGGCGGAUUGUUAAGUUAGAGGUGAAAGGUUGGGGCUCAACCGUAAAAUUGCCGUUGAAACUGUUAGGCUAGAGUAUAGUUGAGGCAGGCGGAAUGUGUGGUGUAGCGGUGAAAUGCUUAGAUAUCACGCAGAACCCCGAUUGCGAAGGCAGCUUACCAAACUAUAACUGACGUUGAGGCACGAAAGCGUGGGUAUCAAACAGGAUUAGAUACCCUAGUAGUC